rnacentral:rRNA from 1 species
AACGAACGCUGGCGGCAGGCCUAACACAUGCAAGUCGAGCGAGGACUUCGGUCCUAGCGGCGGACGGGUGAGUAACGCGUGGGAACGUGCCCCUUGGUACGGAAUAGCCCCGGGAAACUGGGAGUAAUACCGUAUGAGCUCUACGGAGGAAAGAUUUAUCGCCAAGGGAUCGGCCCGCGUUGGAUUAGGUAGUUGGUGGGGUAAUGGCCUACCAAGCCGACGAUCCAUAGCUGGUUUGAGAGGAUGAUCAGCCACACUGGGACUGAGACACGGCCCAGACUCCUACGGGAGGCAGCAGUGGGGAAUAUUGGACAAUGGGCGGAAGCCUGAUCCAGCAACGCCGCGUGAGGGAUGACGGCCUUCGGGUUGUAAACCUCUUUCAGCAGGGACGAAGCGCAAGUGACGGUACCUGCAGAAGAAGCACCGGCCAACUACGUGCCAGCAGCCGCGGUAACAC